rnacentral:tRNA from 1 species
GGCGAUUACUCCAAACGGAUUGGAAGCGGCCUGCAAAACCGUGGGAACGGGUUCGACUCCCGUAUUCGCCU